rnacentral:misc_RNA from 1 species
GAUGAAGAACGUAGCGAAAUGCGAUAGGUAGUGUGAAUUGCAGAUGUAACGUGAAUCAUCGAAUCUUUGAACGCAAAUUGCACUCUCUGGUAUUCCGGGGAGUAUGCCUGUUUGAGGGUCGCCAAAUCAACAUCGAAAUUCAUUUGCUUUUGUAAAUGUUUAUCGGAUUUGAGCCGUCUUUUAUUUUUUUAAUUAAAGUGGCUUAAAAUGUAUUUUUUGGUAUCGAAAAACGUUAUUUUACGAUCAAAUUGAUUAAAAAAACAAACGUUUCGAAUGCCGUCUUUUAAUGUAAUACGCUUGACUGUGGUGUUAAUCAUAGUUUCAUUCGUAUACGAUUUUUUAAUUUUUGACCUCAAAUCAGGUAAGAACACCCGCUGAACUUAAGCAUAUCAAUAAGCGGAGGG